rnacentral:lncRNA from 1 species
GGUUGAUGUUCAUGGGUGAUUGAUCAUCCUGUAGCGACGGUGGUAUUGACUGUUCCCCAGAGGACAAGGAGUGUGUUCUUAUAGGUAGAUAAAUGGCCACAUACCUAAAGAAAAUCAAAGGGGACAAAAAGUGAGAGUCUGUUAUAAACUAAGGAUUAUAAUUAAUGUAAUUCAGUACAACUGUGGACAAUUUUGAAAAGAUAAAGAUUGAUGUCAUUUUAGUCAUUUUAUAGAUAAACUAAAAAUGGGACAUUUUUAAUAUCCCAUUUUAGCAUUUUUCAUAGUUUACACAAACGUUCCUAUAUUGCUAGAUAGCCUAGUCUGUGAACUCCCUGAGGAAGGAGCACAUGUGAAGUAAAUACUUGUCAUUAUCAUAGUGGGUUCAAGUGGAAUAUUCUUCCGGCUUAUUGUUACAUCUUCAUAGACUAUAUAAUUUAAACAAAACGGUUCAAGC